CUCGCUGCUCUCCUUUCACUCUCACUUGCUCUCUUCUGUGCGAGUUACCCGGAAUCAGUGGUGGAUAUCUCGGGGCUCCACUGACUCAGCAGGGCGGGGAGAGCUGCGCACCAGGUGGCUUCCCCAAGGGGCUGCUCAAGGGCCCAGUGUGUUCCUACAGUGCCAUGAGAACUGGGGGUGAAGGGGAGAGGAGUGAGGGGUUUCUGCUGCCACCACCACCACCACAACGCUAAAUUUCGAAACCUCAGUAACGCACGACCCCCUUCCCCCCUCUUCCCCCUUCCUCUCCUCCGUGAACAGACAACACAGGGGGAGUUUGUGUUCCUCGUGGUAACAAGUACAGAGUUGUUCAUAAGCUCUGGCUGAAGAGAAAAAAAUGAUAAGUGCUUUGGUUGACCUAAACGAAAGUAAGCAGAAGUGACAGGAAGUUGAUGAAACGAACAAAGAACGAGUGCGUACGAACGAAAGAACGAAAAAAAUACCAAAAAAAAAAUAGUGAUACAAUUUGAAAACGGCAAAAGUGGCAAGGAAAAAAAAAAGUGUAUAUUGAAAAAAAAAAAAGAAAAUGUGUCAGUUAGUAAAGGAAAUAGAUGAAAAUAGAAAACACUUGAGAAAUUUCCCUUCGCGAUGCCACACAAACUAGAGCAA